rnacentral:tRNA from 1 species
AUUUAAAUAGCUUAUAAUAAUAGAGUAUAACAUUGAAGCUGUUAUGGAGAAUUUUUAUUCUUUAAAUA